rnacentral:rRNA from 1 species
AGAGUUUGAUCCUGGCUCAGGAUGAACGCUGGCGGCGUGCUUAACACAUGCAAGUCGAACGAAGCACUUAAACGGAUUUCUUCGGAUUGAAGUUUUUGUGACUGAGUGGCGGACGGGUGAGUAACGCGUGGGUAACCUGCCUCAUACAGGGGGAUAACAGUUGGAAACGGCUGCUAAUACCGCAUAAGCGCACAGUACCGCAUGGUACAGUGUGAAAAACUCCGGUGGUAUGAGAUGGACCCGCGUCUGAUUAGCUAGUUGGUGGGGUAACGGCCUACCAAGGCGACGAUCAGUAGCCGACCUGAGAGGGUGACCGGCCACAUUGGGACUGAGACACGGCCCAAACUCCUACGGGAGGCAGCAGUGGGGAAUAUUGCACAAUGGGGGAAACCCUGAUGCAGCGACGCCGCGUGAGUGAAGAAGUAUUUCGGUAUGUAAAGCUCUAUCAGCAGGGAAGAAAAUGACGGUACCUGACUAAGAAGCCCCGGCUAACUACGUGCCAGCAGCCGCGGUAAUACGUAGGGGGCAAGCGUUAUCCGGAUUUAUUGGGCGUAAAGCGUGUGUAGGCGGUUUAUUAAGUUUAAGAUUAAAGCCCGGGGCUCAACUCCGGUAAGUCUUAAAAACUGGUAGACUUGAGUACGGUAGAGGCAAACGGAAUUUCUAGUGUAGCGGUGAAAUGCGUAGAUAUUAGAAGGAACACCAGUGGCGAAAGCGGUUUGCUGGGCCGUUACUGACGCUGAGGCACGAAAGCGUGGGGAGCAAAUAGGAUUAGAUACCCUAGUAGUCCACGCCGUAAACGAUGAGUACUAAGUGUUGGGGUUACCCAGUGCUGAAGCUAACGUAUUAAGUACUCCGCCUGAGUAGUACGGUCGCAAGGCUGAAACUCAAAGGAAUUGACGGGCACCCGCACAAGCGGUGGAGCAUGCUGUUUAAUUCGACGAUACGCGAAGAACCUUACCUAGACUUGACAUCCCUGGCAAAGCUAUAGAAAUAUAGUGGAGGUCAUCCAGGUGACAGGUGGUGCAUGGUUGUCGUCAGCUCGUGUCGUGAGAUGUUCGGUUAAGUCCGCUAACGAGCGCAACCCUUAUCCUUAGUUGCUAACAUUAAGUUGAGAACCCUAAGGAGACUGCCGGUGACAAACCGGAGGAAGGUGGGGAUGACGUCAAAUCAUCAUGCCCCUUACGUCUAGGGCUACAGGCGUGCUAUAAUGGCCGAUACAAUAAGAAGCAAUACUGUGAAGUGGAGCAAAUCUGUAAAGUCGGUCUCAGUUCGGAUUGAAGUCUGCAACUCGACUUCAUGAAGCUAGAAUCGCUAGUAAUCCCAAAUCAGAAUGUUGGGGUGAAUACGUUCCCGGGUGUUGUACACACCGCCCGUCAUGCCAUGAAAGUUUGUAAUACCCGAAUGUGGUAGCCUAACCUUUUAGGAGGGGGCCAUUUAAGGUAGGACAAGUGAUUGGGGUAAAGUCGUAACAAGGUAUCCCUA